rnacentral:rRNA from 1 species
UACAGAGGCCUCGAGCGUUAGGCGGAAUCACUGGGCUUAAAGCGUGUGUAGGCGGACUUCUAAGUACCUUGUGAAAUCCCACGGCUUACCCGUGGAACGGCUCGGUAUACUGGGUAUCUUGAGCCACUUAGGGGCGACCGGAACAAAUGGUGGAGCGGUGAAAUGCGUAGAUAUCAUUUGGAACGCCAACGGCGAAAGCAGGCAGCUGGGGAUGCACCGACGCUGAGACACGAAAGCCAGGGGAGCGAACGGG